AUUAAACUCUUUAUUUAGUUAUGGGUACCCUUAUACAAGUUAUCCAUCCAUAUAAACAAAGCCCAAAUGCCAAACCAUAACCCACAUGAUUUUUAGACAUAAAAGUUAAAAUAAAAUAAAAAAGGGGUGAAAAACGUGAUUCACUCCACUCAUCAUUUUCAUCUCCUUCCCUUCUCUCACAUCUGAAUUCCAUCACACAAGAACCAAGAUUUUCAACACCUUCCUCUCCUCCCUUCUUCUUCGUCUGAUUCACAACACACAAGAACCAAGAUCUUCAACAUAAAAAUUUCAGCUUUGUCAGUAAAUAAUUGAAUUUCAGUCCAUAUUUCAGACAUUAGGGGCAAAUUUUUUUUCAAAAGCUAAACCAUAGCCCUCACACCUCACACAUCCAUCAUUAGAUUUGUGACAAAAAAUCCUCCUACAAAUACUGAACUCUACUCACCAUAUUACUCAAGCAAACAAUCUCAAAAGGUUCGCUUCAAUUCAUUUCUUUCUUCCUUGAUUUCUGAUUUUUGAUUUUGAAAAUUAAAAAAGAAAUUUAAACCACCAAACACAACUCCUCUGUUUUCUUUCUACACGGGAAACCGCCACCUUCGACCACCCAUAUAACCGCCUGAAACCACCUGAACCAAUCGACCACCACAGAACCAUCGACCACCGCCAGUCUUCCUCUCCCACGCGACUCCCUUGCGGCCUCUGUUGCGUCCCAUACAGCCCACACCAGCCACCACGAAAAUCGCCAGCCUCCCUCACUCACCACCCUAAACCCGGACCUUGACUAAUUAACUCCCGCCUGAGCCUGGCCAUGCUUCGCCAGAAUCGAACCACAACUGCUUCGAACUCCUCCUUCGUGCCUCCCCUGUUUUGCCUCCCCUUCUUUCGUUCCUCAUUUGUUUCUCAACUUCGAUUUCGUAGGCGAGAAAUAUCAAGAGUGCUAAUACGUUCGUGAACUUAACUUUGGGCACGUGUCACGAGGUGGGUGAUCGACGGGAGAACUAAUGGGAGAUCAUUUAGAGUUGUCAUCCACUUAGCAUAUGAUUAGCUUCCGUUGGAACUCUGAAACAUUUAAGUAAUUAGUAUUGUUUAAUGAACGAUUUACUCGGUUGUAAGGAUUAAUGAAUUUGAGUUUA